rnacentral:rRNA from 1 species
CCCGUCGUUACUACCGAUCGAACGGUCAGGUGAGGUCUUCGGAUGUGGCCGACGAGUCCGCUUACGCGCAGCGGCGUUCCACGCUGUCGUCGGCACGUUCUCUGAUGGCCCGGAGAAGACGACCGAACUCGAUCGCUUAGAGGAAGUAAAAGUUGUAA